UGAGGAAUAUUGGUCAAUGGGCGCAAGCCUGAACCAGCCAAGUAGCGUGCAGGAUGACGGCCCUAUGGGUUGUAAACUGCUUUUUAAGGGGAAUAAAGAGGGGCACGCGUGUCCUGUUGCAUGUACCCUUGGAAUAAGGACCGGCUAAUUCCGUGCCAGCAGCCGCGGUAAUACGGAAGGUCCAGGUGUUAUCCGGAUUUAUUGGGUUUAAAGGGAGCGUAGGCCGCAGGUUAAGUGUGUUGUGAAAAGCAGUCGCCCAACGUCUGCCUUGCAGCGCAAACUGUCCUGCUUGAGUGCGCACAACGCAGGCGGAAUUCGUCGUGUAGCGGUGAAAUGCUUAGAUAUGACGAAGAACUCCGAUUGCGAAGGCAGCUUGCGGGAGCGCAACUGACACUGAAGCUCGAAAGUGCGGGUAUCGAACAGGAUUAGAUACCCUGGUAGUCCGCACGGUAAACGCUGGAUGCCCGUUUUUGGCUUAUUUUAAGUCAGAGACCAAGCGAAAGCAUUAAGCAUCCCACCUGGGGAGUACGCCGGCAACGGUG
rnacentral:rRNA from 1 species